ACCAGACUCCUACGGGAGGCAGCAGUGGGGAAUAUUGCACAAUGGGGGGAACCCUGAUGCAGCGACGCCGCGUGGGUGAAGAAGUCAUUCGUGACGUAAAGCCCUAUCAGCAGGGAAGAAAAUGACGGUACCUGACUAAGAAGCCCCGGCUAACUACGUGCCAGCAGCCGCGGUAAUACGUAGGGGGCAAGCGUUAUCCGGAUUUACUGGGUGUAAAGGGAGCGUAGACGGCGGCGCAAGUCCGGAGUGAAAUCCCAAGGCUCAACCUUGGAACUGCAUUUGAAACUGUUGGUCUUGAGUAUCGGAGAGGCAGGCGGAAUUCCUAGUGUAGCGGUGAAAUGCGUAGAUAUUAGGAGGAACACCAGUGGCGAAGGCGGCCUGCUGGACGACGACUGACGGUGAGGCGCGAAAGCGUGGGGAGCAAACAGGAUUAGAUACCCCUGUA
rnacentral:rRNA from 1 species